GCUCAGUUGGUUAGAGCACCACCUUGACAUGGUGGGGGUCGUUGGUUCGAAUCCAAUCGAGCCUACCA
rnacentral:tRNA from 1 species